rnacentral:rRNA from 1 species
UAGAGUGAUCCUGGCUCAGAGCGAACGCUGGCGGCAGGCUUAACACAUGCAAGUCGAACGGGCUUCUUCGGAAGUCAGUGGCAGACGGGUGAGUAACACGUGGGAACGUGCCCUUCGGUUCGGAAUAACUCAGGGAAACUUGAGCUAAUACCGGAUACGCCCUUAUGGGGAAAGGUUUACUGCCGAAGGAUCGGCCCGCGUCUGAUUAGCUUGUUGGUGGGGUAACGGCCUACCAAGGCGACGAUCAGUAGCUGGUCUGAGAGGAUGAUCAGCCACACUGGGACUGAGACACGGCCCAGACUCCUACGGGAGGCAGCAGUGGGGAAUAUUGGACAAUGGGCGCAAGCCUGAUCCAGCCAUGCCGCGUGAGUGAUGAAGGCCUUAGGGUUGUAAAGCUCUUUUGUCCGGGACGAUAAUGACGGUACCGGAAGAAUAAGCCCCGGCUAACUUCGUGCCAGCAGCCGCGGUAAUACGAAGGGGGCUAGCGUUGCUCGGAAUCACUGGGCGUAAAGGGCGCGUAGGCGGCCGAUUAAGUCGGGGGUGAAAGCCUGUGGCUCAACCACAGAAUUGCCUUCGAUACUGGUUGGCUUGAGACCGGAAGAGGACAGCGGAACUGCGAGUGUAGAGGUAAAUUCGUAGAUAUUCGCAAGAACACCAGGGCGAAGGCGGUACGAGGCGGAAAGCGG